UAUUUAAUAAAUAUAGAAAAAUUCAAUUUAACUUAUUAUUCCCCACAUAUCAAAAUCAUUUACUAAAUCGAAUGGUUGAAAUCUUCCAUAAGUAAAUCCUCUAUGCUUAUAACUAGAAGAUGGAAAUUUAUUGGUUUCUAUAUUUUGUGAAAUUAUCAAUGGUUCAAUGAUUUAUCCAUAGUACUAUCUGCAUAAUAUUUCAUUAUAUUCUAACAAGUAUUUGUGACAUAUAAUAUUUCUUAUAUCCUUAGGAAUAUUGUUUUCUUCUAAUCCUUUAUGUAUAUAGCACCAAGUUUGUACAUAAUUAAAUCUUUGUAUCCUAUCAGCAUGUUGCUAGAAGGAUAUAUUUACUGAUGAUCCUUUAUUAUUCCAAUUGUAUUCAUCUCUUUGCUUAAUAGUUAAAAAUCUACUAUAAUCAAUCACAAGUUCGUCUGUAUAAUCCUCAACAGAAUUAAUAUUCCAUUGUUUCCAUGAAAAAUUAUUUAUGUACACCUCUCUCCUAAUCCUAAAUAUGAGAAUAGGAUCGAUGUUUAAAUUUUAUUCUUUAUUAUUAUGAGUUCUCCAAUUUUAAAUUCAUGAGCUUGGGAUAAAUACAAUUGUUCCAAUUGUUUAUCGUCUAAUCUAUUUUGUUCUAAAUAAUACUAUUGUCUAUAUUUAGUUAAGUUAUCCUUAAUUGUAUUACUAUCUAUCAUUAGAUUAUAUUCUCCAUUAUUUAUAAAAUAAACAAUUGUUUCUUCCAUUUUUAUAUUUUCCACCCAAAACUUGGCUCUUAUAUCAUUUUCGCGGACAUUUUUCAACCCAAGAUCCAAAUAAGGAUGUAAAUGAUUAAUUUUAAAAUUGUUUGAAAGUUUUGUAAUUUUAUUUCAUUAAAACACAAUUUUGAGGUAAGCGUUGUGCAAUAUUUUGUAAGAAUGCCUUUUUUUAUAAAAAAAAAAAAUAGGUUAUGACUUAUAAGAUACCUUGAGUUUGUAAGUCAUAUGUCUAUCAAGACCUGGCCAAAAUUCUGCACUCUUCAGAUUAAGUUUGUCUAAUAUGACUUAUUGUCCACUAAAAAUAAUACCUUUUUUUUUUCCCAUGAGGUGUGAAUCAAUCAACUUAGGGAUGGAAAAAUCUUCCACGUGUUUGGAGCUCCAUGGAACUCCACACCAAAUGGGGUGAAUUUUAAAUAAUUUUUUAGCAAUGGGGGAGAAACAAUCCCCAAAUUCUUAAUAAUUGGGGUAUAGUUUUGUACUCUCCACCUCACCCCCACCCCAAUCCCUAUUACAGAAAAACUGCCAAUGCCUUGCGUUUUCUUCAAAAAAUAGAGCCGAAUGAAAGUACAGUCCUCAUAUGCCGGAUGAAGCCAAACCUGAACCAACUUAACGAGGUAGUUUUCCCUGGCCCUGGGGUAGUUUGUUCACUAUUCGGAGUAAAUUCUUCGAAUCUGAUUUUCAGAAGAUACCUCACUUAAUCGCUGAAAAUAGAAAACUCUUUGAGAUCACUCCAAAUGAGUUCCCAACAUCCAACCUGGAGAUCAGGAUUGCACGAGCUUUCUGUUACCUCCACUGGCUGACGGAAUAGUACCGACAUAUUGCAUGAGCUAGCGAAGCCGUGGAACGCAAAAGGAAAGGAACGUAAAAACGCGCUUUUUUUGGAAAUGGUAGCCGACGCACUGGAUUUCUAUAUGAAUUUUUUUAAUUUUUCUUUAAUAAUUUUUAUUUUAUCAAUUACAAUGUUGGUUAAUAAAUUUUCUUUUUUCUUUUUACCUACUAGAAAUAGAGUUUAACUAAAAGAAAACUAUAUAUUAAAAUUCUUAUUCAACCGUAAAACAUAGUUACGUUUUCAUUUCUUUCUUAAGAUGCUGCUUUCUUCCAACAUUUUUCAAUUUUAAUAUCAUUUUAAGAUAUUUUUUCAAUCUUUCAGAGAUUUUUAUAAAUAAUUUAGAUACUUUAUAAUAUGGUAAUAAUUUUAUUUAAAUCUUUAAUUUUUAAUUUACUGAAAUUAUUUGUCCGUGUCUACCAUAAAAUAAGUAAAUGGGGAAUGAGGCAAGGAUCGGGAAAUCAUCCCCCACAUGGGAUUCCUCGUCCCCACUCUACUAAAUUUAUUGAGGGAUGAAGUGGGGAAUGGAGGCGAAAUUUUUAAUGAAGUGUGGAAUGGUAUAGGCCUCAUCAUCCCCACCCCCACCCAACUCGCCACUGCCAUCCCUAAAUCAACUUUUUUGGCCUUCUGGCUAAGAUCAAGGGCAACAUUUAAUUGGUUAGAGAUUUAAUGCAUUAAAUCUUUAUUCUAAAUAAUUAGUAUAUGAAACAAUUUAAUUUAUAAAUUCUUUAAUCAAAUCCAUCAGACUUAUUGACUAAUAGUUACAUCACUUUGUCAUGAUGAGGAGAUAGUCUUUAGUAUUUUAGAACAUUGUUCUAUAAUAAUUCAUUGCUUAUCAUGUAUAUAGGGAGAUUACCAAUUUCCCACCUACUGUAAUUAAUAUAUACCAUUUACCCCCUACCGUUUUAAUAAUAAACAA
rnacentral:lncRNA from 1 species